UACGAAGGGGGCUAGCGUUGCUCGGAAUCACUGGGCGUAAAGGGUGCGUAGGCGGGUCUUUUAAGUCAGGGGUGAAAUCCUGGAGCUCAACUCCAGAACUGCCUUUGAUACUGAAGAUCUUGAGUUCGGGAGAGGUGAGUGGAACUGCGAGUGUAGAGGUGAAAUUCGUAGAUAUUCGCAAGAACACCAGUGGCGAAGGCGGACUCACUGGCCCGAGUACU
rnacentral:rRNA from 1 species